GGAGGUUAGUGCAAUGGCAUAAGCCAGCUUGACUGCGAGCGUGACGGCGCGAGCAGGUGCGAAAGCAGGUCAUAGUGAUCCGGUGGUUCUGAAUGGAAGGGCCAUCGCUCAACGGAUAAAAGGUACUCCGGGGAUAACAGGCUGAUACCGCCCAAGAGUUCAUAUCGACGGCGGUGUUUGGCACCUCGAUGUCGGCUCAUCACAUCCUGGGGCUGAAGUAGGUCCCAAGGGUAUGGCUGUUCGCCAUUUAAAGUGGUACGCGAGCUGGGUUUAGAACGUCGUGAGACAGUUCGGUCC
rnacentral:rRNA from 1 species